rnacentral:sRNA from 1 species
UUAAUUCGUCGUUAAUAUAAAUAUUUUUCUAACGGGUUUUAAAUUUGUCCAAAAUUUUGGUAUUUAUUAUUAAUUCCAACGAUUUUUACCUGGAAUUAUUAUAAUUUUAUUAUUUAAUUAAUAUUAAACGGCCGUUUUUUUUUUUUGCGAUUUUUUACGGCCAAAAUCGUUUUUACAGCCCAAAUUUUUUCGGGUUCGCCGGUUUUUUUUAUCGGUUAAAAUUCGGGGUUGGGCCGGAAAUCGGUUUAAAUUUAAAACGGUAAUAAAUUAUUAACGGUUCGUUUUAUUAAUUUUACGUGGAAAAUAAAAUAAAUUUUUCGCGGAACGUUUAACGUAACCGUAAAUGGGGUCGGUAUAAUUAUAAUUCGGUAUUUUUCGUAAAUAUAAUCGAAUUUUUUAUACGGGCGGUUUAUAUAUAUAUUAUAUAAAUUAAAAAAUAUUUUAUCCCUAAUCCAAAAUUAUUUAACCGGGCGUUAUAAUUCGUUCGCCCCGGUCUUUUAACGUUAUUAAUUAUACGCAAUAACGGUUUGGAUUAAUUUGGAAUUUUUUUAUAAAUAUUCCAAAAACCAAAUGGCCCUGGUUUUUAAAUUCGAAACCGGUAUUUUGAAAAAAGGGUAAUAUUUGGUACCGUUUCGAUAUUAAAUUCAAAUAAUAAUUUGUUCGGAUUUAUUUCCGUAAUUAAAAAAUUCCGGUUAUUAAAAACCAAUUAUAUUACCCCCAAAUAAUUGGACCAAUUUUUUUAAUCGAAAAUUAUAUAAAUUUUAAAAUAUUAUUGGAUUUUUUAAUUGGCCUAUUCCGUAUUUCCGUCGGUUUCCGGGUAAUAAAAAAUAAAAAAUAAUUAUUCCACCCCCGUUUAUUUAUAUAAUUUUAUUUAAAAACCCCCCACCCAAUUGGAAUUUUUAUUAAAAAUAAUUUAAUUGGGAAAACCCCGGAAUUAUUAUUAAAAAAAUAAAAACCGCGCCGCGCAAUUUUCCGUUUUUAUUAAAUAUAUCGUUUUUAAUUAUAUAUAUUUGGAAAAUUUGUCCGUUAUUAUUAUUAAAUACCGAAAAAUUAUUUCCCCGUUCCCGGAUAAAUUGGUUAUAAAAUCGAUCGAAAUUUAUUUCCAAAAUUUAUCCGGUAUAAAUAAUAAUUGGAAAAAAUUUUAACGUAUUCGGCGUAAAAAUUUCGUCCGCCAAUAUAUAUUAUAAUUACGUACGAAACGUUUUAUAUAUUUUAUUAUAUCGUUCUAAUAAUAAUUUCUGGUAAAUAUAAUAAAUAUACCGUUUUUACCGGAAUAAUUUAUUAUUGGCGAUUUAUAAAUCCGUUAUAAUAUCGCCGUAAUUAAUAAUUCCCAAUUUGGUAAUUAUAACCGCCUUUUAUAUUAAAACGCCCCGAACGCGUUUAUUGCGUAAUUUAUUAUUUGCGUUUUCGUUUCGGUUUUUGGCGGAAAAUAACGUUUGUUUUCCUAUAUUACGUCCAAAUAUAUUUGGUAUAAAUUAUUUUUCGAUAAUAUUUCGUUCCAAAACCGGACCAAAUAUAUUUGGAAAAAAAUUUGCAAUUUCGGCGGGGGAACCGCGGCGGUUGCAAUAAUUAUCAUAUUUACCGGCGUUAAAUUAAUUUAUAAUUUGGCCGGACGUAAUAUAAUUAUUAAUUAUAACGUAAUAUAUUUAUUUUAUUUUUUUUAAAUAACGCGUUGGGGAUUUCCGUUAAUUGGCCCGGGCGGAAACGUAAAUUAUAAUUAAAUUUCGAAAAUAUUUUUAUUUAACGCAUUUAUUUUUCCAAAAUUUUUUUAAAUUUGGAAAAAUAUUUUAACGUUUUAUAAUUUAUUAAUAUUAAAAAAAACCGACAAACGUUACGGAAUUCCGCGUUUUAUAUUUUUAAAUAUAUUAUUACCGCGAAUAAUUUUUUAUUAUAAAUGGUAUAAUUUUUUUAAAUAUCGGUUAAUUUGGUCGAAUAGAACGCGACCGGAUAUUAUAAUUUAUCCGUUUUCUUUUGCGAAAGAUAAUUUUUUAACGCCGCGUCGAAAUAAUUAAUUUCCAUUUUCGUAUUUUUCGCGUUAUUUUAUUAGGCGAAUAUCGGUAUUUGGAAAAACGCGUAUUUUAACGUUUCGAACGUUUUUUCGAAUUUUUCCGUUUAUCGAAAUGGGGUUUUUUUUCGUAAAUAUUAAUAACGGGGCCGUUAAUAUUAAAUAAUUAUUUAUAAAAUUGCGAUAAAAAUUUGCGAAACCCAAAAAUCCGCAAAAUCCCCGGAAUUUCGUCGGGGUUUUCCAAUUUUAAAUUGUUUUUAUUUUUUCGGGGUCGGUUUGGAUUUUUUCCCCCGUUUUAAUAAUAAAUUUUAAAUAUUUAAUUUUUUUUACCGCAAAUGCGUUUUUAUCGAAAUUUAAAUUAAAUUUUAUUACCGCUAAUUUAUCCAAUAUCCGGGUUAUUUUCGACCAAUAAUCGGAUUUGGAAUUUAAAAAAUAAAUAAAAAUAUUAUCCAAAUAAAUUAAUAUAUAAUCCCCCAACGUAUUAUUUAAUAUACCGUUAAUAUAAUAUUAAAAAAUCGCGGGCGCCCCGGCGAAUCCGAACGGGUAUACCAAUUAUUUAAAUAAUCCGAAACGAAUUUUAAAUAUUGUAAAAUAUUUAUCGUUUUCCGUUAUUUGUAAUUUAUAAAAUACCGCGCGUACGUCCAUUUUGGUAAAUUACCGCGUUUUCGUUAAAAAACGUAUCAUUUUUUUAAUUAACGGUCAAAAAUAACGGUUUUAUAUAAUAAUAUUAUUUAAAAUUUUAUAAUUUACGUAUAAUUUCCAACCCCCUAAUAUUUUGCGCAUUAUUAGGACCGGGGCGGCCGCCGACGAAAAAUUGGCCCUAAUUUAAUUUUUAUCCAUUAUAUUUAUUAUUUGGCGUUAUAAUUUUAAUAAUUAUUUUCGUAAUAUAUAAUAAAAACGAUUUUAUAAAAAAACCGGAAUUUUCCCGGAUUUGUUUUUUUAUAAAUAAAUAUAAUAAUUAAAAUAACCCCGGUGCGGCGGUAAUUUUAACGUUUUCGUUUUGUUAAACAAAUCCGCGAAUUUCGCCAAUUCGGGGGAAAACGUCGUUUAUAAUAACAUUUAUUUAUAUAUAACCGUUAAUUGCAAAAUAUUAAUUAUUUUCCGGAAAAAUAUUAAUGCAAAUUUUAUUUAUUCGCCGUCGUAUUUUUUCGUUCGCCGAUACGCGGUUAAAAAAACGUUAUUAAUAACCACCGUAAAUUUGGUUAAAAUAAAACGUAUAGAUAAUUUGUUUAUUAAUAUAUUUUUUAUUACGUUUAUAAUUAAUUUUUUCCGCGUCGGGUCGAAUAAUAUCCGUCGGUAAAUUAUCCAGGGUAAUUUUAAUAUUACGUCCCGAAUUAAUCCCGGUAUAAUAUAAAAAAAUAUUAAUAUAACCCAUUUAUUAAUAUUUAUUUCGCAUUUGGCCAAUUUUUAAAUUAUU